rnacentral:rRNA from 1 species
AUUGAACGCUGGCGGCAGGCCUAACACAUGCAAGUCGAGCGGAUGAGAGGAGCUUGCUCCUCGAUUCAGCGGCGGACGGGUGAGUAAUGCCUAGGAAUCUGCCCAGUAGUGGGGGACAACGUUUCGAAAGGAACGCUAAUACCGCAUACGUCCUACGGGAGAAAGUGGGGGAUCUUCGGACCUCACGCUAUUGGAUGAGCCUAGGUCGGAUUAGCUAGUUGGUAGGGUAAAGGCCUACCAAGGCGACGAUCCGUAACUGGUCUGAGAGGAUGAUCAGUAACACUGGAACUGAGACACGGUCGAGACUUCUACGGGAGGCAGCAGUGGGGAAUAUUGGACAAUGGGCGCAAGCCUGAUCCAGCCAUGCCGCGUGUGUGAAGAAGGCCCUCGGGUCGUAAAGCACUUUAAGUUGGGAGGAAGGGCUUACAGCGAAUACCUGUGAGUUUUGACGUUACCGACAGAAUAAGCACCGGCUAACUUCGUGCCAGCAGCCGCAGUAA